rnacentral:rRNA from 1 species
AGUCGAACGAGAACCGCUCGCCUCGUAAGAGACGGACGGGGACAGUGGCGAACGGGUGCGUAACACGUGAGAAACCUGCCCCGAAGAUCGGGAUAGCCCGGGGAAACCCGGAUUAAUACCGAAUACCCUCGUGGGGUCGCAUGACCCCGCUAGGAAAUGGUCCGCCGCUUCGGGAUGGUCUCGCGGCCUAUCAGCUAGUUGGUGAGGUAACGGCUCACCAAGGCAGCGACGGGUAGCUGGUCUGAGAGGACGAUCAGCCACACUGGGACUGAGACACGGCCCAGACUCCUACGGGAGGCAGCAGCAGGGAAUAUUGCACAAUGGGCGAAAGCCUGAUGCAGCGACGCCGCGUGCGGGAUGAAUGCCUUCGGGUUGUAAACCGCUUUCAGGAGGGACGAAAAUGACGGUACCUCCAGAAGAAGGCCUGGCCAACUACGUGCCAGCAGCCGCGGUAAUACGUAGAGGCCGAACGUUGUCCGGAUUUAUUGGGCGUAAAGGGCUCGUAGGCGGUUUGACAAGUCGGUCGUGAAAACCCGGGGCUCAACCCCGGGACGCCGAUCGAAACUGUCAUGACUAGGGUCCGGUAGAGGUGAGUGGAAUUCUCGGUGUAGCGGUGA